rnacentral:lncRNA from 1 species
UACGCCGAUCCUUUUCAUCAUGUUUGCCAAAAAUGUCUUUUCUUUACUUUGCAGGACCUGGUCCAGUUAUUCGAGUUGUGGUGGUGGUGGUGUUACUUUUAAUUGCAGCGUCAACUAUAGGUGGACUUUGGGUGUUAAAAAGGAAAGGAAAAAGUUGGAGUGAUCUGAGGACAAUGACAUGCCGGGACCGAUGCAGGUUAUUUAUACCUUGCAUUAAGGAGCGCAAGAAGCAUGGAGAUGAGGAAAAACAAGAAAUGACAAACACUGUGACUCCCCCGGUGCCUUCAGGAGAACAUAAGAGCCCUGAAGCUGUUCCACUGAUGCCGAGUGUAACUGAUGACAAUAAGCCCCCUGAAGCUAACACAGAUGCAGUGCAUGAAGAGGAACUAACAGAAAAUGAUCCGGGGUCCACAGCUGAUGGAGAAGACAAAAAGCAGCCUGAAGCUAACACAGAUCCACUGCAUGAAGAGAAUCUAGCAGAAUCUUUUGUGGCACCCACAGCUGAUGGAGGUGGGAACUAUUUAACACUGUUGCAUUGGCAUUUAGAAUGGUUUACAUGU